GGCCCAAAUAUGAAGUAAGAUUGGUAAGGUCAGCUGGUCCUACUAUUAUACUCUACUUCAAAAUUGGGCCC
rfam:Haemonchus placei strain MHpl1 genome assembly, scaffold: HPLM_contig0001463